rnacentral:rRNA from 1 species
GACGAACGCUGGCGGCGUGCUUAACACAUGCAAGUCGAACGGAAAGGCCCUGCUUUUGUGUGGUGCUCGAGUGGCGCAGGGGUGAGUAACCCAUGAGUCACCUUCCCUUGACUUUGUGAUAACUUCAGGCGACUGGGGCUAAUACCGGAUAGGAGCUCCUGCUGCAUGGUGGUGGUUGGAAAUCUUCGGCGGUUGGGGAUGGACUCGCGGCUUAUUAGCUUGUUGGUGGGGUAGUUGCUUACCCAGGCUUUGACGGGUAGCCGGCAUGGGAGGGUGAACGGCCACAUGGGGACUGAGAGACGGCCCAGACGCCUACGGGAGGCAGCAGUGGGGAAUAUUGCACAAUGGGCGGAAGCCUGAGGCAGCAACGCCGGGUGCGGGAUGACGGCCUUCGUGCUGUAAACCGCUGUCGCCUGUGACGAAGCGUGAGUGACGGUAAUGGGUAAAGAAGCACCGGCUAACUACGUG